CUUCAGGUCUCUGAGCAAUCACUAAUUUCUUGACGGUGAGCUAGUCAGAUACAGAAACAGGAUUCUGUGGUUAACUACGGGAGCAAAGUGCUCCUAGGAUGUGCAAGCAACAAAAUGGAGGCCCAGGAACCUGGAGGAAGGCCCCAGACAUGCACCAGAUGGCUUCGUGUGAGUUUCUCCAGCUGUGAACAGAUUUUCAUUGCAACAAGACAUUGAACCAAUUACUUCGUUCUUAGAAGAAAGACUUCAGAGGACAGGAAGAUAAAUCGUAUUGAAGUCCGUGAGUCUGGUGUUCAUGACAAAUACUGAAAAUUUAUGAGGAACCACCCUAGUAUAUCCAAGGCUGCUCUAGGCCUCAUGUAAACAUCCAGGAGUGCUUCCCAAGUACCAGGCAUCGCUUGGGUGAAACUGACCAUGAAGGAAAUUGCUGGAUUUCAAAGGGCUCUUUAUUCCCGUCAGGUGAUGAACAGAGGAUGAACAGCUUAUGGACCUUAGGUUAUGGGCAUAAUAAAUGUUCAAAACACUUCCAAAAUACAUGCAAAUGACAAAGCUUUACUCCUGAGUGAGACAACAGCCUGUGGUAAACGCAUGUGAUCCUGAAGUUGAAGAUCAUGCCAUGUUGCUAUCCUUAUUUCACAAAAUUUUGGGAAGAUCAUUGCUGUUCUACCUCAUGGCUUAAAGGAAGGGGGAAGAAGCUCGGACAUCACCUGUGAGACUGCUCAGCUCUUAUUGGAGCUCCAUGGUGUUGGAUGCAGCUAAGAGCAACUCAAAGAGUCAGAUGAAGAUGCCAAGAGGAGUAUUUUCACAGAACUGCAGAAUGACAGGAACGGUGAUUGGUAUUUCCCAAGGUCAUCUAGUCCAAAACACCAGUUUGAAGUGAAGGCAGUUACCUGGAAUCACUGAAAAAACCAGAAAACCUUCCUUCUCAUCAAGACUCCAGCUGCAUCCUUUAACCUUUAAAGUAAAAGGUGAAAUCUAGAAAGCAUAUAUUUCAGUUGAACCUUCGAAAGAACUUGACAACUUCUAGGGUCACAAUUUGACUAAAUGUCAUGCAAACAGGAAACAACAGAGUCCUGAGCAAGAUGUUUUGAGAGAGAAUUGGGGUAACAGCAAUAAGGAAAAAAAAAUAGUUGGAAGAAGUAACACCUAUAAAGGGAUGCAAACAACCAUAUAAGCAUUCGACAUAUCAUAUGAGCAUUUAAGAAUAGUUCUCCAUGAAAAUAUGCCAGAAAAAUUGGGUCCAAAUUUCAACAAGGAUUUGACCUUCCGUGCCUGCUAGUAGUUUUGUGUGAAAUGUUGGCAAACGGAGUGGGUUGUUACAGUCUGAACAAUCUGUUUCUCCAGUCUUUCAAGAACAUUGUGAAUUCUAAUCCUGUCCUCCAAAGUGCUUGCAAACAUUCCCAUUGGAUUUUAUAAGGAAACACUAUGUUCCAUAAUGAAAAGCUCUAAUGGAGAUAUUGACCACUCUCUUGUCCAGUACAGACCACUGCAAAACUCACCUAAGCAGCCUGAGGGACAAAAGAAAAAGGGAAAUCUCCGAAGUCUGUCUAUAACAUAUUGGUAUGAAGAAUAGACCGCAAGUUCAAAUUCAAAUAAGUAUUAUACCAUGUUAAAGUGCAUGAUGACUGUGCAGUGUGGGAGGUCGCACAGUAAUAAAGAAACACAAAUAUGCCCAGAGGGACUAAGAUGGCAUAGAGAGAGUCCAUGAUUACUGCUGCUUUCGUCACCCUCUCGCUGUUACGGCUGUGUGACCUGCUGUAGCUCAGAGAAUCCUGCUGGCAUUUCUGGUGGUUUUAUGAAUCUCCCCGAAUCUCAUAAUUGAAUUGUGAAAUGGCAGCUGGUCUGGAAAUGAGAGGUACGAGCGCAAAAGGAAAUGUACUAAAAGGUAUAGGAAGAGGGUAUGAUGCAAUUUUUCAACUAAUGGUGGUAUUAGGUGCAGAAACAAUUAACAGCUGUGAGGCUUAGAAGAAAUAUAAUGGCAAAAGAAAACGUGAGAAUAUUGAAAAAAACAAAAUAGAAGCUUUUAUGAACUAAAUUGAUGCCUAAUUGGACCCAGAAGAAGAUACUGCCGUGGAGAGGGAGAACAAAGUCAUAUAAUUUGUGCAAAGUCAAAGAAGAAAUGGAAACAAGAUACACGGAAAGUGAUUAAACAGAAAGAUUAAGAACUAGCACAAGUACAAAAUUUUUCUCAGCAAGAAUUCAAAACCAGUGAGGGGGGUUGUGUUCAAAUGAUACAACAUAAUAUUUUUUGCCAUAUUCUUUGGCAAAGAACUUCAGAAUUUGCCUAGAUCUGACCCUUUACUUCAUUAUCUGCUGAGCCAAACAAGACAACUGGUUUACUUUGACCUGCCAUCCAUCGUAGCAUUGAAAAAAUAGGUACAAAAUCUGCCACCAUCAAAGCCUUAAUGUAUGAAAACAUGCAUGAUAUAGUCAUGUUAGUAGUGUUAACAGAUGGUAUAAUAUUGCUACCACGUGUGAUAUGGAAGCAGAAAGCAAUGCCGAAGGAAUAGCUGCCGACUGGAAUAAUUGUAAGGUGUCAAAACCAAGGAUGGAUGUCUACAGAUUUAAUGAAGGACUGGCUGAACAUCAUUUGGAUCAGGAGACCGGGUGUGCUGUUAAGAAAAUCCUUGUCCUAGAUGCAUUCGAAGGUCACCUAUCGCUUGCUGUGAAGAAUUUUGCCAAGAAAAUGAAUAUUGAUCUUGGGGUUAUAUCAAGAGGAGUGACAUCAAAACUCUUUGUGUAGUAGUGAAUGUGCCCUUUAAAGACCACUUGAAAUCUUCAUACUCAGAAUGACUAUCGGCAGGGAUCAUGCUCUAGCUUCUACUGGAAAAAAACAUAGUGGUGCAAAACAGCUCUGUCAUUUUAAGAGACCACCAAAGACACCACCAAAUAAUUCCAGAACUUGUAGCUAAUGUUUUUAAGAAAGACUAUAUUUUACAUUCCAUGAAUGGGACAGAGGAUGAGAGAUGAAUACAAAGAAAAACCUGCAAAUGGUGAAGACACUAAAAGCGAAGAAUAGAUGGAAGAUGGUGAAGAGAAUGACAGAGAUGUUGAAGUGUAAAAACUGAAAAGCAAUAGUAGUACAGCAUAUGAGAAGAAUACUGCUUAACUUUAGGCAAACUGUUAGUUAAAAUAUUUUUUAUUGAUUAUGGGUAUGCAAUAAUAACCUUUUUGUAUAUAAAAUUCAGUUGAGAGUAGCUGAAAUUCAGUGGUCUUCUCCUUCCUGGUUGUCACUGUGCACUUACUUUUUCAUGGUGAGAUAAACUAAGAUGCAUCUACGUUUUGCCACUUGUACCCACUCCUGUGCAGCACUUGUAGUACUGUGACUUGUCCUGAUAAAAUACUCUGAACUGAAUGACUAUCAUGAUCGGGGUUAUAAAACCCAUAGACAGAAACUCAAAAUGUUUUGAUGUUGACUUUACAAGCAGUUAUAUUACUAUAGUUGUGAUAUAUGUCCUCCAGACUUGGGCCACAAUGGAAAGAAUGGGUAGCUUGGAUCAAAGUAAAGGACUUGGUGAGCCAGCUUUACCAACAGAGAAAUAUUACAUGCCCAUGUUCUCAUUCAGUACUACUUUUUUAUCUAUUUAUCAUAUUCUAAUCACAGUUUCAAGUUACACAUAAAUCUGAUUACUUACUUCAUCAAAAUUUUCCACCCCACGUCUUUCACAUUCAAUUGCAAAACAGGCAAUGAGAGAUCAUUCCCUCCAACUUUGAAAUCAUUGCAGACAUCAUCAUUCAGCCUGUGAUGCAAGAGUGACAGUGACGUAUGACUGGGUGUGCUCUGUAUGAGGAGAGAACAGAGGACAGAGACAUCAGACCCAAAGUAAAUGGUGGAAACGCUAAAGAUAGAUGAAGCAGGGGAAGUAAGUAUAACAGAGUCAAUGUGUUCUAGAUAACUUAUUAGAUACCUUAUUUACAAUUUUAGUUUUAAUUUCAGAACAUUAACUAUAUUCUAAAUAUUUUAAUUUUUUGUCCUAAGAAGCAGUGAGUUUCAUUCAGUCCUGCAGAUCUUAUCCCAGAAAUUCAAACCUGGUAGAACCCAUCACUAAACAGAAUCUGUCAGUUCCUGCAGUACUAACUCACAGCUAUAGCAAUGGUUCAGCCGUAUCGUGAUGGUAGCUAUACCCCAUAGGCUACCUGCUUGUGAGGUAGGAUAACAUUCUUUAACCAACCCCUAAGGUUAGGGUUUGUGCUACUAGGAGUGAACAACUUUUGCUUCAUUUUCUUGUAGAUAAGAAAAAAUAGCCUGGAAUACAAGCUUAAUUAAGGGUUAAGUUAAAGAACUGUAGGGGUUAAUAGGGUAGUUUUAGUCUUUGUUCUUGUAAGUACCACAGUACUUCAUCUGCACAGUGGUAGUUAUUUGUACACGCUACUUAUAUUAAUUCUGUUGGGGGAGGGUACAAAAGUCAAUAUAUCCUAUAUAAUUUUUAACAGUUUUGAUUUGUGCUGUUUUGUGACCUGAAGUGUCAUUUUAGAAGAACUGAAAAAUUAAAACAUUUUACUUUUACAAAUGUUAGUUCCUAAUAAGAUUCUAACCAGUUUAAAUAUGAAUCAAUUAUUCUUAAAUCCCUAGUUUGACAUAAAUUUAGCUUUGACCAGAUGGAUGACAGCAAUGAUAUUCUUUGCACUUUUGUUUUACUUUAACAAAAGCAUUCACAGCAAAUAAUCAAAUUAAUCCAUGUUCUUCCAAAGCAUACCAUCUGUUGAAGUUUAAUACUAAUAUAAUAGAAAUAGUUCACUACAAUAUCUUUUUUCAUGAGAAAGAUUUAUUUCCCCCCUAGGCAAAAUGCUUCAUGAAUGGACUAGAAAUAUACUUUUGCUUUUUGGCCAAAAUGGUCACAAUGCAGGUUUGACCUGAAAAGCAUUGAAUUUAGGCUCAUGGGCUAGAACUCUAAGCAUUUUACACUUGCUCACUCAUCUUGCUUAAAAUUCAGACUAGAGCAGCCUUCUCCUUUCCAUCUUGCAAUAACUCUUGUUUGUAUUUGGGUUCCUGAGACAGAUAAUCCUAUUUAUAUUUUAGUUCUCAUCUUUCCAUUUUCAAACCAUUUUUUUUUUAAGUCAUGAAUAUGACAAAAAAGGAAACAUUUGUUUCUGUUAUGAAUCUGACCCAACUCUAAAGAAAUUUUUUCAGUAUAUAUUAAAUAGAUUAGUUACUAUGCAGUGCAAUUAAUGCAACAGUUCUAUGAAAGCAACUAGGUGAGGGAAGAUGAGAGAUUCAAGCUUUUAGGACAGAUAGGAUUUAGUGUAAAGCUUUGACAUUAUCAGUCACUAAAAAUUAAUUAUCACAUAUAAUUAGGACAAAGUGUGGCAAUUCAAAUGAACGAGCUCUUUAGAAAACUAGUCAACUGAAACACUCACCAUGGAAAGCCUUAUUGCCUCCUCCUCCAAAAAAGAAAGAGUGGAUUGGGAUGAGAACAGGGUGAUCAAAAGCUAUAUGAACAGCCUGCAAAUAGAGAACAUAAGGAGAUUAUGAAAGACAUCUUCAAGAUAAUGAGAUUUUUGGCAUGAAGAGGGUGGAUAUACAUAAAAACUUCUCAACUCUGCCAGGAUGACACUUAAAAGAAUCAGAGAGACUCAUAAAAUUGCUAGUCAGUAGGAGCCAGGUUUAAAAGAGGAAAAGAUGUCUUUUCUUGCAAUAGAUUUUUGCUAAAGUUCUGGAUUUAAGAAGUUUAGAGGGGCUCAGGGAAACUGGAAAAGAUUGAAAGGGUAAGCCACUGUGGGUUGCUAAAUUGACCUGCCAUUUUUGGGCUGAGGAAUCCUUUCAGAUGGAAGUAGUUCAAGGUUCAGAAGAUAUAGCAGGGGCAUGGUUAUAAAUGUUUGCCCUCUUCCUAAUAUUCCCUAGACAGCUGUUUAGGUUCUGUUAUUGUUAGCUGUUAUUGGAGAAAUAACAUUGCGUUAGCUUGACUUGGUCUCGGCCAGUGAAACGUAUUCUUGUUCCUGAUUGAAGCCUACCACUGUCAUUAGCUUUGAUGGACUGUGGAUCAUGUGGGUCAAAUGCUGCACUGGCAAAAAGGUGUAUCCAUCUCUCAAUGGACGGGCAUCCUUAAGCUUUUGCUCAAUUAUGCACUUAAGUAUUCUCAUGAAACUCUUUAUGAAACAGCAGAACUACUCUUAACCUAGACAAAGUUGUCAGCAAGGUUUCCUUGCUAUGUGGUGAAGACUGUGCAACUGCCAUAGUUUUGCACUGGGAUAUGAAAUAUGACUAGACCCACAGGAAAUCAGAAUCAUCAGCACUUCUGGUGUAUUUGUCACCAUGCAAUCAUUAUUCUCUGUCAUAUUUCCCAAUUAUUACAAGAAACACCUGGAUUCACAUAAUUUGUUGUUGUACCUGACAGCACUUACCAGUGAACUGCAGGCAGUACCUAACAUGAACAGAGAGAAAAUUUGUUUUCCAAAGCCCUAUCCUUCCUGCCUAGCCCUACUGAUUCAUCAAAGCACAUAGGCAGCUGGGAAAACUGUCAGUUAAAUCCUUAGAUUAGUUUCAUACUCAAAGAUGCGCUGAAGUGCUUUUCUGGACCUAGUCCAGAUGCUCAGCAUCUUCUAGGAUCAAGUUCAUAUUUAUGAGUGCUUCAUAAGUGAAGAAAAUCAUAAAAUUGAAUGGUUUUGUUCCCAUAAAAAGGGAAAUAUAAAGCACUCAGUACAAAGUAACCAUGUGUUAAGUACUCAUAGAACAUUUUUUCCUUUGUUAAUUAAGCAAAAUUUCAUCUGGGUGGGGCAUUUCUUGGCAGCUGAUGUUCAGGCGAGAGUCGUGAGUUUUAAUUGCCACUUAAAUCUAGGGCAUCUCAUUGAACAAACAGGUGGAGCAUAUCCACUUUAAAUGUAUGCAAACAGCUUUAUUUAUGAUAGAUAUGAGAAUGAGUUUUCUGAUUGAUUAGUUCCUUUUAAUUCCAAGGAAAUUGUGGCCGAUUGCAGUAACUGCAGAUUUUCUGCAAUGAAUGUAGCACAGGUUACACAGAAAACCAAUUCAAAGAGAACACUUACAGUUUUAAAAUCUGUAAUAACGUGAAAGAAAUAAACCAAGCAAGCAAGCAUAUUCCAUUUAUAACUCUUAGAAAUGGGACUUAUUAAUUGAAAUAUGUGGCUGAAUAGGAAAAUAAUCUGUUUAAGUCUGACAAGAAUCACUAGCUCUAAACAAGCAGCCAUUUCUAGGCUGACACUUUGUAUGAUAUAAGGGUUAGCUAGGAACCAGCUAUUAAAGUACACUGAAUCAGUUACCAAGCUAUAUUCUGUGAUCUGGAAAACAAUUCAGUGUUUUAUAUUUUUGUUUCUAACAUACAGAGAAAGGGAGAAUGCGUUUGUGAAAUGCGUUCCAUUUUAUUCUAAUAAUAAUCAGUUAGCGAUUAAGAAAGCUUUCUUUCCUCUGAAUCAGCUGCCAAUACAAAGAAUAUCUCAUGUAAACAGCUCUCAGAUACAACAUACUAGUUCAUUGCAUUUUCAGAGGCUUAGAUGAGGUAGUAGGAGAUAAUAUGCAAUUUAUUUCUCCUAUUUGGGUGUGUAAUGGCAAGGCUGGAUAGCACUCCGGAGCUAGGUAAGUAGCUAUAAACUUGAUGUAAGUCUUCAUCCUUUUAGGAUUAGUUUAUACUUCUGAUUCUUAGUUAUUGAAGCCCUUGAUUCCAUUAUCAGUAUGUUAAUAUGUGAAAAGACAUAAGCGGACCCUUAACUGACUGUUUUGGUGGUGGUGUGCUUUGUGACGUGUUACUUUACUCAUGUCACCUAAACCAGUGAACCAGUGGAAAAUCUGCAGAUUAGUCUACAAAGGACUGUGUCUGAUGUUCGUUUAUUUUUUCUGACUAAAGUAAAGCAAAAUUUGCAAAAAAUUUUUACUAUUGUCUACAUUUUUUUUCUUCUGCAUAAGGAUUAUUUAUUUUUUUUUUGCUAUAUUCAGUAUUUCUUCAAGAAUAAUCCUAGAGUUACAAAUGGGAGGAUGCAAUGCUUGUUCAUAUUACACAAGAAUACAGGGACACUAGUUAUUGAAAGGAAAGUGAUACUCAAUAUAUGACCUUCAGGUCUUUUUGAGCAGUUAAAUCUGCACUGGGUUUGUUUUGAAGACCAUGUCAGCCGUAAGAACUGAUACCUGAACUCAUAUCUAAACCACAUAUAGAAGAAAAGGAAUAACCUAAAGAGGAAAGACCGAGUUGUUAAAAGCAGGCCAAAGUGUGGUAGAAAACUCAGGCACUACAACCCAGCGGGCCAAGUCAAGAGCAUGGUUAGAGGUGAGACAGAUGGUCAGCUAAAUGGGCAAUCACAGCACUGAGGAUGCCCCUGGAAGAUUAAAUAAAGAGGAAGCAGGGGGAAGUAAGCUGAUUUUGAGUAUUAAAAAAAAAACUGGAAGGGCGUGAAGCAUGAGAGCCAAUAAUAAGGGAAGGGAGUAUCAGUGCAGAUCUCAACCAAAGGACUGUUCUCCAGGUAGUCUAUAGCUUCCAAAGAGUCCUUGCCGAGGCAUCAACUUAAGCAGUUUGUCUUCUAGUGGGGUUGAUUUCCACAUGUGAAAAGGAAAAAUCAAUGAUGGAUGUAACAUACACGUACCAAAAAAUGGAUGCUGAUCCCGGUCUAUUUAGUUUAAGAAACAAGUGGCUAUCAACUGUCACUGUGGCAGGCAGAUCAUAACUUAAUACAGCCUGAAAAAAUAUUCCAAUUUACAUCUGCUUAGAAUACAAUCACACUUCUUAACUGUAGACCAGGAAACACAAUAAUAGAAUUAGAGCUGUAUUUUAGAAGGAUGGUCACAGUGAUAGUCUUGAAUUACCAGGGAAAAAAAACAUAUUCUUAUUUACAGAGUACUGUGUCUUUGAGGUGAGCUUUAAAAUUAGCUUUCCUUCUUUCUCUGUUCUCCCUAAAGAGUGAAUCAAAUUAGUUUUGUAGUAUAUUUUUAAUAGGAUUUGUUUCUCAAUAAGGCCUUUUUUCAUCAGAGCCUAUAUUUGAAGGUGACUAUGACAGUUUUCAGUGAGGAGGGAUGAAACCAGAUCAAGAGGAGCUAUUCUUAGGAUACAGUGGCAAACCUGUUUUUUUAAAAAGGAAAAAAGAGUUAGACAAAUCUGGAUUUUAGUUUUACAUAAAAAGGAAGCUGAAAUCUUAGAAAACAUUUGAGCAGUUGUAAGCUUGAAAAUCUGUUUCACAUUUUUCACUUUAAAGCACCUGCAUUCAUUAAUUAAUAGGUUAUUUUUCAUUAAAAAAAAAAACAAACCAAAACAUUGAGAUCUUUAAAACUAUUGCUAUUCUUUGGGACAUAAAUCCCUCCUCCAGAGAGCUGAAUAUUUAUUUCAUUAGUUAGUGAAAAAUAAGGAGUAAUGAGAGCUAUUUGGUUGUUUGUUUUUAAGUCAUUAUUUUUAGCUUAUUUUUUUUAAAAAAAACAUUAUAUAGGUUACAGUAACAGGUUAAGACUCUCUGUUGGUGUUCUAUGUGAAAGCACAACAUGAGGAACAAUUAGAAAUGAAUAAAAAUAUGGCAUGAUUAAAACUAGCUGUUUCUGAAGGCCAGAUAUGGUAUUUUAAACAAUAGGUAAGCUUCGAGAUGGUUUUAUGACACCAUAUUUGAAGAACGGUUUCUGAAGAAUGAGACUGGGAUAAAGCUGCUCCUUUAGCAAAAUGCAAAGCCGUUUGAUGAAAAUGACUUUUGCUGUCUAAAGCUAGGCUAUUUAAAAGAACAUCACUUUCAUAAAGAAAAGCUGAUUUAUCUUGUGUCUUCACACUAAUGGACUAAGCCUGAUAUAACACAGACCUUCCAAAGCUUAAAAGGAAGUGGUAAAAAUCAUUGGGUAGAAAAGUUAGUGGUGGAAAUAUGGGACAGAAAAAUUAAAUUCUGCAAAAGCUUCACCUCAUAGUAGUUUUAGACAUCUUGCUUCUUUCAGAGGACUUGGUCUAAGAUGUUAGCUUAUGUUAGCCAUCUAAAAUUAAGUGUCUUCUCUAGGAUCAUGUCCCUUAGAACACAGGAGAAAAAUGCACUGGUGAGAAACAUAAUGCCAGUAUGAGCUAAAAUCUUCUUUAAAACAGGAAGCAUCCCAUCUUAGUUCUUCCUCACUCCUAAUUUCUGAAGUUGCUACAAGUUGUUAUAACUUCUGUCACAUUAGGAAAUUGAACCUAAAAUUGACUAUGUUCAGAUUGCCUUUGGUUACCUGCAUCGGUUUCCACUGGGAUGAAAUGAUCGGGCUGAUCAGUUGAGAUGAUUAGAAAUGGCUUUUUAAAAUAACCUUUAACACAAUUUACAAUCAAUAUCAAGAGAUUUCAAAUUUGAUGACUUGAUAAAUAUUCACAUGUGUUAUUCCAAGUCACUUUUCACCCCUUGUACUUUAAAGUCUUGUUUUUAUCAGAUAUCGUUUAUAGAGAGCGUAUGUGUUAGCUGUAAUGAGCUGUGACACGCAAAGUGAAGGGGAGCUACACCCAGAUCCAGCCUCAGAACUGCCUUCUGGCUGGUUCACACACAGAACUUCUUGCCUCUCCAGAGAGGAGCAUUUCACUCAAAGUCAUCCCUGUGCCUACGUGAUAUGUAUGUAUACAUGCAUCUCAGAAUAAGACUAUUUUCAGAUUUGGUUCAAUGCUCAGUAUUUUAGUUCUUUGCAUCAAGAACAGCUGUUUUUUCCCUGUUAUGAACACUUCUGGUAAGGGGUCUUCAGAACGGUUUUAACUUACUCUUUCAUUAGUAGGAGCAUAACAGUCUUGUAAUGGGAAAAAUUUAAGUGGACUAUGACUUUUUGUAAAUGCUGUAGCUUAAGGUUCCAAUCUCUAUCAGGUUUCAGGCAUCUGUUGUCUCUUUCUAUUUCAUUAUAUGCUAUUCUUUUCUCCAAAAUUUUUCCUUCUUUAAAGAUUGCCUUUAUAGUUCCCCUUCCAAGAGCAUUAGCUACUUACAGAUUGACUUACCUUCGCAUAUUUUAGAGGCUUCUCAGGAGUUGCUUAUCUCUAUUGACUAUCUAGGUAACUAGCUUAAGGCAACAUGAAUAACUUUUAGAUGGUUAACCUUUCUUAACCCCUUUUUUUCUGGAAAGCUUAAGUUUUCUUUUUGCCUUUUUCAUUCUUUUCCCAACCAUCUAUGCACUUUUCCCACUUCUUUUAAAGAUUCAUUUCUCUGCAAGCACUUUUCACUGCACUGUUCUUGAUAAUUGAUUAUCUCAAAGAGGGGUUUUAUUUCCUGCUGCUUUCCUGCCACAUAUUUGGCAUAUGUUACCUUUUGCUUCUGCAGCACUGCAUUUAACAUCUGUCGAAAGAAAUAUAACCGAGUGCUAGAAGACAAAGAGCACUAAGAUUCGUGAGAAUGCUUUUUCUUAUAAUAGUAUUACAGUGGAGUUGGAUGGAUAUUACUUUUAAUGAUAAAUUAUUUUGAGUGGAGUUUUUAUUAUCUCAUUUUUCUAGAACUUUCACCUGAAUUUUAUACAUGGAGAACUCUUAAAAUAACCUAGCUCUUUCAAUAAUGGAAGUCUUCUGAAAGAUUAAAAUUACGAUAUUUGUUGAGGAACAAUGUAGGGACACAUUUGAACAAUACCAAUAUUAAC